rnacentral:misc_RNA from 1 species
UGGACAGAAAGAACUUUAGUUUUUAUCCAACUUCUGAUAUCUCACGCUGUUGAUGUCAAGCUUAACCUUAACACUGGUUUCUGCACAGCUUCCGCAUCAACUCCAUCCACAACCGCAGCAUUUGGCUCAAACUCUUCCCGCAAUCCAUCUUGAAAUACUCCACUGCCAUCUCGACACACAUUUUCCAAAUGACACAAAGAAUCUGCAUCACCAGAAUCACUUUGAGAAGAUACCACGUUAUUACUUCCUUCGACACUCCCAUCAGCACUUCCAUUGUUCCCCUUGCUGCUACCUGCUACUGAUUCAUUUCCAAUAUCCUCACAUGAACCAAUGUCACUUGAAAGGGAGGUGAUUACACUGGAAUU